AACGAACGCUGGCGGCGCGUCUUAACCAUGCAAGUCGAGCGGCAGGCAGCAAUGCCGAGAGCGGCGGACUGGUGAGUAACACGUGGAUAACGUACCCCGAUGUCCGGGACAGCCUGUAGAAAUAGAGGGUAAUACCGGAUAGAUCACUGUUUACGUGAGGUAGACAGCGGGAAAGGAGCUUCGGCUCCGCGACGGGAUCGGUCUGCGGCCCAUCAGCUGGACGGCGGGGUAAAGGCCCGCCGUGGCGAGGACGGGUAUCCGGCCUGAGAGGGCGGACGGACACAUUGGGACUGAGAUACGGCCCAGACUCCUACGGGAGGCAGCAGGUAAGAAUAUUCCGCAAUGGGGGGAACCCUGACGGAGCGACGCCGCGUGAACGAAGAAGGCCGGAAGGUUGUAAAGUUCUUUUCUGUACGAGGAAUAAGUUUCGGAGGAAAUGCCGGGACGGUGACGGUAGGGCAGGAAUAAGCACCGGCUAAUUACGU
rnacentral:rRNA from 1 species